rnacentral:lncRNA from 1 species
GCCACACGCUUGUUUUGUUAAGGAGAGUCCACCUAUCACCAGGAGGGACAGAAGUCAGCUCAGGAAGGGAGACCCUGCCGGGGAACUCAGCCAUGAGACUUCGCAAUUAUAAGCUAUUCCUUAAGCCACAGAAAGAAGUGAAGAAAGGAAGAGGGGAAGACAGAAAGAAAACAAUUAUCACUUGGUUUAGUGACCACGUGUGUUGAGGACAGG